UUAUUUAAGAGUUUGAUCCUGGCUCAGGAUGAACGCUGGCGGCGUGCCUAACACAUGCAAGUCGAGCGAGAAGGUUAUGACUGAUUCUUCGGAUGAAGGAUUAACUGGAAAGCGG
rnacentral:rRNA from 1 species